GUGACGAUAGCUCAAGUGGUAGAGUAGCGGCGUGUCAAGCCGACGGUCGUGGGUUCGAAUCCCGCUCGUGACA
rnacentral:tRNA from 1 species